CGGCACCUCUUGAUGUCUACCGCACCGCCCGGACCAUGGGAAACAACAAAACUGAGAACAUGGGAUACAAUCUUACUUGGUCUUUGCCUGUGGACUCUGGUUUUAGUUACCUGCUUAGAUUACAUUUUUGCGAGUUCCAACCAGAGAUCCAGGAACAGCAGGACAGGGAGUUCACGAUUUUCAUAGCUAACCAGACGGCGGAGAAUCAUGCAGACGUGAUCAAAUGGAGCGGCGGAAACGGAGUUCCCAUAUACAGAGAUUAUGGGGUAAUGAUGCCAAGCCAGGGAAGUAACAAAAAACAAAAGCUCUACAUACAACUGCAUCCUAACCCGGAUUAUGAAACCGUUUACAAUGAUGCAAUCCUCAACGGAAUCGAGCUGUUCAAACUCAUCAAUCCCAAUCCAGACCAACAGCCUACCUCGAGGGAAAGUAACAAAAUGAAGCUUGUUGCAAUUACCGGAGGUGUGGUUUGCGGCCUAGUUGCAGUCUCAGUUUUAUAUUUCUUUGUCGUGCAUCAAAUGAAGAGAAAUAGAGAUCCUAGCCUUAGAGACGGAGCACUAUGGUGGGGCCCAGUUUUUUAUAUUUUGGGUACGUCCACCGAGACCCAUCGCUCAUCUCUAACAUCCGAUCUGAGCCAUCAUUUCAGUCUGCAAGAUAUCAAGACGGCCACCAAGAACUUUGACAAGGGAUACAUCGUCGGAGAGGGAGGCUUUGGUAACGUGUAUAAAGGGUAUAUCAGUGGAGGAACCACACCGGUGGCAAUCAAACGCCUAAAUCCUGAGUCACAGCAGGGGGCCCACGAAUUCAUGACUGAGAUCGAGAUGCUUUCCCAGCUGCGUCACAUUCAUCUUGUGUCUCUCAUUGGUUACUGCAACCAUAAACGUGAGAUGAUCCUUGUGUACGAGUACAUGGCCAAUGGCAACCUCCGCGAUCAUCUCUACAACACUGAUAAUCCUCCUCUGCCGUGGACCCAACGCCUUCAGAUUUGCAUCGGAGCUGCGCGUGGACUGCACUACCUUCACGCCGGUGUGAAGAAGACAAUCAUUCACCGUGAUGUCAAGACAACCAACAUUUUAUUGGAUCAUAAAUGGGUGGCUAAAGUUUCCGACUUCGGCCUAUCCAAAAUGAGUCCUACCAGCGUGGCAAAUGCCCACAUCAGCACAGUUGUCAAGGGUAGUUUUGGCUAUCUGGAUCCAGAGUAUUUCAGAUUCCAACGUCUGAACGAGAAGUCUGACGUCUACUCAUUUGGGGUGGUAUUAUUUGAAGUACUGUGUGCAAGGCCACCUGUAAAUCAAACAGGGGAGGAAGAGCAAGCGGGCUUGGCACACUGGGCCGUCACCAGCUACAAAAAUGGAAAGCUGGAGGAAAUCAUCGACCCCCAUUUGGAGGGUAAGAUUGCACCAAUGUGCUUGGAGAAAUACGGAGAGGUUGCAGUGAGUUGCGUGCUUGAUCAAAGGAUCAAGCGUCCGUCAAUGAGCGAUGUGGUGAGGGGCCUUGAGCUUGCAUUGGAGCUCCAGGAAAGUACAGAAAAGGGGAACAGUAUAAAUGAGUCCCUGGACCAUGAGGAGAGCCUAUCACAAAUUUCUGGUACAGAUGACGACGACAAAGAUGUGUUUCAUAAUGGAGGUAGAGACGUCUGCGAUUCAGAGGCUAGCAGGGUGACAAUCCCGAGCAAUGAUGAAAAAAGUUCAAUUAGUGUUAUGAUGGAAGACGAUGCAUGUGUUCUCUGAUAUCAUGAAGCCCCAAGGGAGAUGAAAUCAGGCAUGUAUUAGACUAACAGGGCACUUAACAGGUGGGUCAUUUUUAUCAAAUAAGGUAAUUGGACUACUUGUUUAAUUGAUCUUUAUUAUGAAGUUUCUAGCGCUAUCAUUUCUUCAUCAGAAUUUUUAAAUAAUUAGUAGUAUGAAUAUAAACUUUAUUCUUUGUAGUUAAUUUUAUAUUCUCUCAAAAUUAGCAAUUUUUAUGUAAAUUCAUACAUUAAAAUUUAAAUUUUAUUACAACCACAUAUUCGAAUAACAUACAAAAUUGAUGAUUUCUUUAAUUUUUGACAAUGAGCAUGAAUAUAAAAAUUUAAGAAUAAAAUUUAGCUUAGUUAACUUAUUUAUUUCUUAUGUAUGGUUUAACGUGUAAGAACUGUUAAGUGUAAUUUGAGGUGUCGUUGACAUCAAUUAUCUCGUCAUUUUAGAUACAGCAGGAGCAUGCAUGGUAUUAUUACCUUGGAGCAAGCAUCCUUCAAGCCCAAGGAGAAGAAAUUUCUCAUAAUUUGUGCCAUAUAGGAUUUCCAUUCAAAAUCAUCUUUAAGGGAGACGAUUCUAGGCUGCGAUUUUCAUUUGAAAUGUGUUUCGUCUCAAUCUCAAAUCCAUUUUCUCUCAUAAACCAAUUUUCUUCCUUCCCAUUUUCAGAUAUCUCAUCUCACUCUCAAACUCAUCUUCUUCCUGCUUUGCAUUUUUAGAUCUCCCCCUUGAUUUGGAAAGAUGACUUUCUGAAAGAUGCCUCAUAAUUUCCCAUACUUGCCCUAUCCCACCUCAUUUUAUUUUUUUAAUAGGAAUAAUAAUUAUUUUAAAUAAACAUAAUAGAGUUGGGAAAAGACUACUGAUUCCAAACUCCAAACUCCAAACUCAUUCCGUUGUCAUCCCUAAAUUUAAUUUUAAGUCCUUCAAAAUUAUUUUUAUAAUAAUUUUUUAUAAUUAAUUUACUUGAUAAAAUAAAUAGACAGUUAUUAUGAGGGAAUUUGACUUAUUUUGAUAGCAACCUUUGUUACCAAAACCGCGUGGAGUCUUCUUUGCUACCAAAACCAUAGAAAAGUUAAUGAAGUCUUUGGAUAUAUGAUAUCUUUAAUUGUCAAGUAGCAUGCAUCAGCAGCUUUAACUUUUAACUUUAAUCUUAUAAGCACGUCUGCAGAUUCCUGUUCUAUCAUUCGCGCGUGUGUGUGUGUGUGUAGCAUAUUAAGAGAAGCCCAUUGGUCACAAGUUGGGGACUUGUAUAUAGUUCACGUAGAGAUGUUAAAGUUUCAAUAAUAUUCAUUAAACUAAACAAAGUAUUCUGCUAAUUUUUAAGAUUAAGAUUGUAUAUAUCAGUCAUCACAUGAUUAUAAUCUGAUGUUAAUUAUGAAAUCAUGAAAUUUAAUCGUGUGUGUGGUACAGCUACCUUGCUAAAUUUCCGUGGUUUAAUUUCAACACCAUGAUAGUAUGAAAAUAUAAACAGGGUAUGGGGCAGAUAUCAAAGUCAAGAAACUAUUUUUCAUAUUUUAGCUUCCAGACAAAGUCUUGUUCCUAAAAAUAAUUAAAAAUUGAUUUUAUGAAUUAUUUUGAAUAACAAUUUUUUAAUAAUUGCUUUUCGAUUGUUGCCAAUGGACUCAAAUUAAAUUUCAGAAGCUUUGAAAAGACAUUAUCAGCUACAUGCUUGUUUGUUUGAAAUGAACAUUUUAAGGGUGGUAAGAGAAGGAUAUAAGAAAUAAUAUUAGCUGUCACGCAUGGAUGUGAUUAUUAUGUCUAAUAUUAUACCCUACAAUAUCUUUGAGGCAGAUUCUAGUAAAAUUUUAUUAGAAACAUUAGUAGAAUAUCUUUUGAAGAUACUACUUUUCCUUUCUUUUCCUUUUGAUCCAAGCAUGAUAAGUUAUUGAUAACUUAGGUUAUAAAUUAAUUAAGGAUCAGAACCGGCUGAUGUGUAGCCAAAACCAUUCAUGUCAAUACUAAAUGUUAUAGUAUGUUUGGGAAUUACAAAUAGAAAAAUGUUUUCUAGACUCAAAAUUAUGUUUGAUAAUCUAUUGAUACAAAAUCAUAUUUUGAGAAUUUGAUUUGAAAAUAGGAUGUUUUUUUUGAAAAACAUAUUUUAAUUAUUUAUAAUUAUUUUCACUUGUUUUUUAUUUAUGAUUAUUUAAAAAUAAUAAUUAUAUAAAUAUAAAUAAAAAUAAAAAUAUUAUCGAUAAAAAAUAUUUAAAAAUACAUAAAAUUAAUUGAGAAUAUUCCAAAUUUUAAAACAGGCUUUCUAAAAAAUAUCAAACAAUUAUUUUUAAAAACUAUUUUUUGGAAACUGUUUUCCAAAAAGUUAGAGAAUGCCUUUCAAUUUCGUACUAUCCCUCACACCCCAUGUUAUCAAGUCACCCUUUUUUAUAUACAAAACGUUCCAUCACCCUUUUAACUUUAGGGUAGACGCUGAGUCACUCGGGUCUUUAUUCCUCAAAAGCAGUGUAGGGAUAGAGAAAGAAAAUAAAAUGAAGACCAGGUCAAUGCACGAUAGAAUUAAUUAAUUACUAUUUAUUAUAUUCACAAAAUGUGGAAAAAAAACCCUCAAUUAUUUGGGGUUGGUGAGACAUCAUAAUUGGGAUUUAAAUGCUAGUCUUGGAAAGAAAGAUCCAUGUGGGCUCCAAAUGAUUGUAUAAAAUAAUUAUAAAAUAAUAUAGAUAUAAUCACAAUUAAUAAUUAUAAGAAAUCGAUAAAGAGAUAUCAAAUAUGUCAAAUAAUAUAUCUUUAAAAUACCACACUAAAAUAAACAUUCCAAAUAAUCUGAUCCUAAAAGAAUUAAGCCCAAAAUAAAGAACCGAAAUUAUGAAAUGCUAAAUAGGCCCAAGUAGACUAGAGCUAAACAAAAACUAUCUUUAGGUAGGAAGCCCAAACUACCGAAAUUAUAAAUUCCUGGACAGGCCCAAGUAGAAAAGACCUUACAAAACCCAUCUUAGGUCAGAAGCCCAAAGCCCAAACCCAUUUAUGUCCACCGGUUGGCCUAUGGCAAGCCCAAUUACUAGGCUGGCCCUUCAGUAUUGUACAUAGGUGCAGCUUGGGGUUGAUUCGAUUAGGGAUGGCAAUGGGCCUGUGUUUUUGUCCUAUUCAAUUAUAUAUAAAAUUAAUUUAAUUUAAUAUUUAUUUUAAAAUUUUUUAAUAUAAUAAUAAUAAUAAUAAUAACAAAAUACUUUUCAAUAAAAUAAUUUAUAAAAAAUAUAAUAUUAUUAAUUAUUUAUAACAUAUAUUUAUUUUAAUGUAUCUAAAAUUUUAAAAAAUAAAUUAAAAAAAAAAGGUCACGUGGUGGGAAUGGGAAUUUCCCAUACUCGCCCUGCCCCGCCUCAUUUUAUUUUUUUAAUAGGAAUAAUAAUUAUUUUAAAUAAACAGAGUAGAGUUGGGAUAAGACUACCGAUUCCAAACUCAUCCCUAAAUUUAAUUUUAAGUCCUUUAAAAUUAUUUUUAUAAUAAUUUUUUAUAGUUAAUUUACUUGAUAAAAUAAAUAGAGAGUUAUUAUGAAGGAAUCUGACUUAUUUUGAUAGCAUUUUUAACACUGUCUUCAAAUAAAAAAUUUUCAUGAUUUUUUACAUAUUUUUUCUUUCAUGGUCUUCUAUUAUGUAAUCUUGUUUGUUGGCCUUUAUAAUCUAUACUAUUUAUUAUUAUUAUGAAAUAUAUUUAAAAUAAUAUUUAUAAAUACGUUUACUUGAAUGAAGUUAAAAUAGAAAAAUGAGAGUCCUUUAAAAAAAAUCGAUUUUAAAUAGAAAAAUGAAUUAUUUAACUAAAUGUUGAUUUUCACAUCAAAAUAAAAUAAUUUUCUUAACAUUUUUCUAUUUUGAUUAUUACAUAUGUUCACAAUAAUUUAAUAAUCUAAUUUAUCAAUUACUUAAAUCUUAUUUUUAAAACCCAUCCUACUUUUGAGACAAUAUUUUAUAAAAUGUUCAAUUAAUGUGUAUCACAAGUAAAUUUUCCUUAUGUAAAUUUGAGAGUAGCUCUUUAAACAAUUACAAUAAUACCAAAGUAUUCUUAAUUGCCCAACCAGGGCUCAUGUGGAAUAAAUGUAAAAUUAAAAAAAAAUUUAAAAUUAAAAUAUAAAAAAUCAAUCAAUCAAGUGACUCUUCUAGGAAGGAAAUUUCCUAAUGUAGCCAUCUAUAGACUUGAAUUGAACAUAAAUAUUACUAUAAUUUUUUUAAAAAACUACUCCCAAAUUUACUUUAGGAAAAUUUAAUUGCUAUAAAAAUUAAUUAAACAUUUGAUAAAAUAUUGUCUCAAAAGUAGAAUGAGUUUUAAAAAUAAGAGUUAAUUAAUUGAUAAAUUAGAUUAUUAAAUUGUUGUGAACAUAUGCAAUAAUCAAAAUAGAAAAAUGUUAAGAAAAUUAUUUUAUUUUGAUAUGAAAAUCAACAUUUAGUUAAAUAAUUCAUUUCUCUAUUUAAAAUCCAUUUUUAUAUUUUUUUUAAAAACUCUAAUUUUUCUAUUUUAGCUUAAUUCAAGUGAGUGGAACAUGAAAAUUUAUUUCAAAAAUCAUUUUGAAGGACGUAAAAUCAAAUCAACCCCAAGCUGCACCUAAGCAUGUGCAACACUGAAGGGACAGCCCAGUAAUUGGGCUUGCCAAUAGGCCGACUGGUGAACAUAAAUGGGCUUGGGCUUUGGGGUUUGGGCAUCUGACCUAUGAUGGGUUUUUUUAAGUCUUUCUACUUGGGCCUCUCCAGCAUUUUAUAAUUUUGGAAGUUUGGUCUUUGGGCUUCUUACCUAAGAUAGAGUUUUUUCUACUUGGGCCUGUUUAGCAUUUAUAAUUUCGGUUCUUUAUUAUGUGCUUAAUUCUUUUAGGAUCAUAUUAUUUUUAAGAUCAUAUUUUUUAAAAUAUCGGUAAACAAGCAUAUGUUGGUAUUAAUAAUUUAUUAUUUAUCUAAUCAAAUUAAUUUUAAUUUAUAAAAUAUUUGAACUUAAUUAUUAUUUUUAUAUAUUUUAGUAUUUUUUUUCAAUAAAUUUAUAAUUUAAAAAAUUUUUAAAAUAAAAACAUUCAAAAUUUAAUAAAAUUAAAAGUAUAAAUAUUAAAAAAUUUAAAAUGAAGUGAUAGUAAUUUUUAAAAAUAAUGAGAUAAUGAUAAUACAUUUAAUAUUAAAACUAUAAUUUAUUUAAUUCAAAUACAUUCAAUAAUGUAAAAUAAACGAUAAUGCAUAUAUGAAUUUUUAAUAUUUAAUUAUCAUAUAAAUGAUAUUAAAAAAAAUUAAAUCAAUGUCAUUGGAAGUCUCAUGGACCCAAGUGUUGAAAAAUCAAAUCAAUGUCGAUGGAAGUCUCAUCGACCCAAACAAGAUUUCUCAAAUAAAUUUACCCAUUACAUUGAAAAAGAGGGUUUUUAUAAACCACAAUUUCUAAACAUUAGUAAAUUGUACAAUUUACUAUUAAAAAAAUACAUUAAAACUUUCAAGUAUAAAAAAGAAAUUAAUCAUUUUAUAUGUCAAGAAGAAAAAAUAAAAGACUAAGGUGGUGUUUGUUUUUUUGGCUUUUUGCUGAAAACCAUUUAGUUUUAGAAUUUAGGUUGUUUGUUUUUUUACUUUUUCAUGACUUAUUAUAAACUUUUUACUAAAUAGAAAAAGUCAAAAUAUGUGGCUUUUUCUAAAUAGAAAAAAAAACACAAUGAUUUUUUUUACUUUUUAAUACUUAAUAGAAAUAAAAUACUACAAAAACAAACAAUCUAAUAUUUAAUACUAUUAAGUAUUAAGAUUCUAUUUAGAAUUAAGUAAAAAAACAAACACCACCUAAGAAAAUGUUAUAUUCAAAUUUUGGCGUAAAUGACAUUUCGUGUAAGGCUUCCUUGAAAAGUCAUGUCAUUAUUUUCCUUAUUGAUAGAGCAUUGGAAGUAAACAAAUGAAAGUGGGCAUGGAAAGAGCUCGCCAACUUGAGACGACUUCUAAAAGUUGUGGUUGGGCAAGAUGACAAUGAUACAUUGAUACUAAUUUAUUCAUAUAUUAUGCAAAAGCUUCCACUUAGGACCUUCAAAUUUAUUAUUCUUUAAUCCAUGCAGUCAUAAUCAAUGUCUUAAUGGGUAAUUUCAUAUUGGAACUGGUCCAAGUUUGAUAACGAUCUCAGAUCAUUCCAAAUUUCACUCAAUUUAGAACUUAUUACUAAAUUCUUAUAAGUCAAUAUCGGAAAAAAAAAAAUUAUAUGACGUGUAAUUAAUUCUAUGUAUUGGGAUUUAGAAUUUGAAUUUUAUGCUAUGGUAGAGCCUAAAGGGCUAAAAGCUAAGGAAAGGUCAUGUUCUUAUGAACGAGUCAUACAUGUAUCUGUCGUGCUAGUUGGCCACCAAUACUCCAAAAAGAAUAUUCCCAAUUUUGGCCCUACAAAUGGACUAGUACUUGAAAAUGUGUUGAUUGUAUUUAUGUUCAAUUCAAGUCUAUACAUGAUAUAUGAUGGCUACAUUCGGAAAUUUCCUUCCUAGAAGAAUCACUUGAUUGAUUGAUUUUUGUUUUUUUUUAUUUUUUAUUUUUAAGUUUACAUUUAUUCCACAUGAGCCCUAGUUGUGCAAUUAAGAAUACUUUGGUAUUACUGUAAAUGUGUAAAGAACUACUCUCAAAUUUACAUAAGGAAAAUUUACUUGUGAUACACAUUAAUUGAACAUUUGAUAAAAUAUUGUCUCAAAAGUAGGAUGGGUUUUAAAAAUAAGAUUUAAAAAUGUCAUAUUCAAAUUUUGGCGUAAAUGACAUUUCGUGUAAGGCUACCUUGAAAAGUCAUGCCAUUAUUUUCCUUAUUGAUAGAGCAUUGGAAGUAGACAAAUGAAAGUGGGCAUGGAAAGAGUCCGCCGACUUGAGACGACUUCUAAAGGUUAUGGUUGGGCAGGAUGACAAUGAUACAUUGAUACUAAUUUAUUCAUAUAUUAUGCAAAAGCUUCCACUUAGGACUUUCAAAUUUAUUAUUCUUUAAUCAAUGUCGUCAUAAUCAACUUCUUAAUGGGUAAUUUCAUACUGAAAUUGGUCCAAGUUUGAUAACGACCUCAGACCAUUCCAGAUUUCACUCGAUUUAGAACUUAUUACUAAAUUCUUAAAAGUCAAUAUUGGAAAAAAUAAAAUAAAAUUAUAUGACGUGUAAUUAAUUCUAUGUAUUGGGAUUUAGAAUUUGAAUUUUAUGUUAUGGUAGAGCCUAAAGGCUAAAAGCUAAGGAAAUGUCAUGUUCUUAUGAACGAGUCAUACAUGUAUCUGUCGUGACAAUUGGCCAUCAACACUCCAAAAAGGAUAUUCCCAAUUCUGGCCCUACAAAUGGACUAGUACUUGAAAAUGUGUUGAUCAUACAAAGUAUUCUUAAUAUGUGGAAUAAAUGUAAACUUAAAAAUAAAAAUUUAAAAUUUAAAAUUUAAAAAAAAUCAAGCAAUCAAGUGACACUUUUAGGAAGGAAAUUUCCGAAUGUAAUCAGCAUAUAAAUAGAGUUGAAGCAUUUUCAAGUACUAGUCCAUUUGUAGGCCCAGAAUUGGGAAUAUCCUUUCUAGAUAAGCGUUGGAGGCCAACUAGCACGACAGAUAUGUGUGUGACUCAUUCACGAGAAAAUGAUAUUUUCUUAGCUUUUAGCCUUUAGGCUCUACUAUACCAUAAAAUUCAAAUUCUAAAUCCCAUUACAUAGAAUUAAUUACACAUCAUAUAAUUUUAUUUUAUUUUUCUGAUCUUCACUUGUAAGAAUUUAGUAAUAAGUUCUAAAACGAGUGAAAUCUAGAAUGGUCUGAGGUCAUUAUCAAACUUGGACUAAUUCCCGUAUGAAAUUACCCAUUAUGACUGCAUAGAUUAAAGAAUAAUAAAUUUGAAGGUCCUAAGUGGAAGCUUUUGCAUAAUAUAUGAAUAAAUUAGUAUCACUGUAUCAGUCAUCCUACCCAACCACCACCUUUAGAAGUCGUCUCCAAGUCAGCGGGCCUUUCCCAUGCCCACUUUCAUUUGUCUACUUCCAAUGUUCUAUCAAUAAGGAAAAUAAUGGCAUGACUUUUCAAGGCAGCCUUACAUGAAAUGUUUUUUGCGCCAAAAUUUGAAUAUGACAUUUUCUUAGUUUUUUUUUUCCAUCUUGACAUAUAAAAUUAUUAAUUACUUUUUUAUACUUGAAAGUUUUAAUGUAUUUUUUUAAUAGUAAAUUGUACUAAUGGUUAGAAAUGGUUAAAAAAAAUCAUUUUUCAAUGUGAUGGGUAAAUUUAUUUGAGAAAUCUCACAUAUUAUAGUCUCUCUCUCUCUCUCUCUCUCUCUCUCUCUCUCUCUCUCUCACACACACACACACACACACACACACACACACAUAUAUAUAUAUAUAUAUACCAAUUUUUUUUAAAAAUUGAACAUUAGGGUUAAAAAAUUAUCCUUUAGAUUUCGAUGUUUCUAAACCUUGAAUCCAAGUGUUGAAAAAUCAAAUCGAUGACAUUAGAAGUCUCAUAGACCCAAGAUAUUUCACUUGAUAGCUUUUCUUUGGUCUUGACACACGUUCAAUGGAGAGAAGUAAGGGUAACUAUGAUUCUCUUUUAUCUUUAGAGGUAGAAGACAACUCAAUGAAAAAGUUAUGAAAACCCUAAUUCUUAAGAGGAUAUCGAUGGGGUUUCCCAAUAGCUUAAAUGACUUAAACCCACUAAGGGCUUAAGUCACUUAAUCUAUCUCAAAAUNNNNNNNNNNNNNNNNNNNNNNNNNCCUUCACGCCGGUGUGAAGAAGACAAUCAUUCACCGUGAUGUCAAGACAACCAACAUUUUAUUGGAUCAUAAAUGGGUGGCUAAAGUUUCCGACUUCGGCCUAUCCAAAAUGAGUCCUACCAGCGUGGCAAAUGCCCACAUCAGCACAGUUGUCAAGGGUAGUUUUGGCUAUCUGGAUCCAGAGUAUUUCAGAUUCCAACGUCUGAACGAGAAGUCUGACGUCUACUCAUUUGGGGUGGUAUUAUUUGAAGUACUGUGUGCAAGGCCACCUGUAAAUCAAACAGGGGAGGAAGAGCAAGCGGGCUUGGCACACUGGGCCGUCACCAGCUACAAAAAUGGAAAGCUGGAGGAAAUCAUCGACCCCCAUUUGGAGGGUAAGAUUGCACCAAUGUGCUUGGAGAAAUACGGAGAGAUUGCAGUGAGUUGCGUGCUUGAUCAAAGGAUCAAGCGUCCGUCAAUGAGCGAUGUGGUGAGGGGCCUUGAGCUUGCAUUGGAGCUCCAGGAAAGUACAGAAAAGGGGAACAGUAUAAAUGAGUCCCUGGACCAUGAGGAGAGCCUAUCAGAAAUUUCUGGUACAGAUGACGACGACAAAGAUGUGUUUCAUAAUGGAGGUAGAGACGUCUGCGAUUCAGAGGCUAGCAGGGUGACAAUCCCGAGCAAUGAUGAAAAAAGUUCAAUUAGUGUUAUGAUGGAAGACGAUGCAUGCGUUGUCUGAUAUCAUGAAGCCCCAAGGGAGAUGAAAUCAGGCAUGUAUUGGACUAACAGGGCACUUAACAGGUGGGUCAUUUUUAUCAAAUAAGGUAAUUGGACUACUUGUUUAAUUGAUCUUUAUUAUGAAGUUUCUAGCGCUAUCAUUUCUUCAUCAGAAUUUUUAAAUAAUUAGUAGUAUGAAUAUAAACUUUAUUCUCUGUAGUUAAUUUUAUAUUCUCUCAAAAUUAGCAAUUUUUAUGUAAAUUCAUACAUUAAAAUUUAAAUUUUAUUACAACCACAUAUUCGAAUAACAUACAAAAUUUAUGAUUUCUUUAAUUUUUGACAAUGAGCAUGAAUAUAAAAAUUUAAGAAUAAAAUUUAGCUUAGUUAACUUAUUUAUUUCUUAUGGAUGGUUUAACGUGUAAGAAUAUCGGAAGGAAAGAAUUUUUAACUGUUGAGUGUAAUUUGAGGUGUCCUUGACAUCAAUUAUCUCGUCAUUAUAGAUACAGCAGGAGCAUGCAUGGUAUUAUUAUCCUUCAAGCCCAAGGAGAAGAGUAUCAUAUUUUAUAAAUACUCUGGAAUUUAAGUGCUUUUCUUGUUGGAAGCAUGGCUUCCUUAAAGCCGGACUCCAAAACACAACUUUAUAGUAGUCGAUUUCAACUAAAGCCUGCACAACAGAAAGUGUCUAAAUCAGAAAGUUUUUAAGAAUAUUUUUAUAAAAUUGUUGCAUUUGAUGUAUAAAAAAUUUAAAUUAAAAUUAAUAUUUAAAAACCCAGUUUUGAUAAGGUUAACAAAAAUGAUAGUGAUGGAGAUUUAUGUGAAUCAGUUACAAAAAUAUAUUAUUAUUGCCUUUUAUUUAUUUAUUUUAGUCUUCAAUCGUGUGUAAAAUUUUCAAAUUCCAAAAUGGCAGGUUGAGUGUGUGGCAUGCUUCUUCCUUUUUACUGCGUCCCACCAUCUUGAAGCACUCUUGUUCCCAAAUAAUUAACACCACUUUAAUUUCGUGCUAAAGACUGGUAAGGAAGAUUUUAUCAAAGCUUUUGUUUAAAUUCAAUUUUAUAUAGGCUAUGUUUGCCUCUUAAAAAAUGUAAGGAUAUGUUUGGUAUAAAAAAAUUGAGAAAAAUACAAAGGAAAUAAAAUAGAGAAGAAGAGCAAAAAGUAAGAAAGAGAGAAGGAAAAUAAAAAAUAAGAUUUAAAAUCAAUAAAUUUUUUUAUUUAUUAUGACAAACUCGUUCACUUAUUUAGCUUACUAAUACAAAGAUUAAAUAAUUAAAAAAUAUAUAAGUUUUUAAUUAAAUUUAAUUAUAAUUAUUAUUUUUUUGAUAUUUUUCAUAAUAUAAAAAAAUCAUUUUUUUAAUAUUUGUUUUUCUUUUCUUAAUAUUUUUUAAAAACCAAAUAUAAAAAAAUUGAACUAAUUUUUAUUUAUUAGUUUCAAAUAUAAAAGAUUAACUUAAAAUCAAUAAAUUAUUUUUAUUUAUUGUUUCAAAUUCAUUUGAUAUAUUUUUUAUAAAAAAAAUUAAAUAAUUUAAAAUUACAUAGGUUUUUAACUAAUUUUAAUUAAUCUUAUUUUCUUCCAUUUUUUCACAACGAAAGGAAACAGUUUUUUCCCUUGAUACUUUUGCAACCAAACAUCAAACGUGAAUGGAGACCAAUAUUGUCCUCUCUCUGAUAUAACCCCUCUCCCUGGGAAAAUUAUGCAGUACUUCAUCAGCUACCAUGAGAAAUACCAGCUACAAACGCCUUUCUCCAAACGUCCUUUCAUUUAUUAUCCCUCUUUAUCUCCUCGUCCUCCACUUCUUUCCGAUCCCUAUCACCGGUGACUCCCCACCUCUCUACAAUCCUACUGAUAUCUAUACCGUUGACUGUGGUGCGUCCGGGAAUUUAAAAGCAUGGGAUAACCGAAUCUGGAUCGGAGACACCAAUUCCCGAUUCUCCCUCAUAGAAAAAAACAAGGCGUCUAUAAUCUCAAAGGCAGCUAAGACAUCCCCCUCAGUUGAUCCCGUCCCCUUCGCCACCGCACGACUAUCUCGCUUCCAAUUCGCUUACAUAUUUCCUGUCACAACCGGCCAGAAAUUCAUUCGCUUGCACUUCUAUCCAUCUUCCGUUGCGGGCUUUGAUAGAUCAAAGGCUUUUUUCUCAGUUAAGAUCGGUGGCUAUACACUUCUUAACAACUUCAGUGCUGCACUCGCUGCUGAUGCCCAUGGGGAUGAAACCGUAUCGAAAGAAUUCUGUGUCAAUGUCAAACAAGGAGAUCAGAUGCUGAACAUAACAUUCACUCCAACGGCCAGUGAUCCAGAUGCAUACGCUUUUAUUAACGGAAUUGAAAUUGUCUCCAUGCCCGACUAUCUCUACUAUACUUCCCCACAAAAUGGAGGGAUUCAGUUUAUCGGCCAAAAAAAUGUAUUUUGGAUUGAAAUCGAGUAUGCUCUGGAAAUGGUAUACCGACUGAACGUGGGUGGGAGAUUUGUUUCACCCAUGGAAGACACAGGCAUGUUCCGCACUUGGGAUGAGGAUGAUGAUUAUUGCGUGAAACUAGCAUUUGUACCGGCCAACAGCAGUAUUGAUCUCAAGUUUACUCAACAACCGGAAUACACGGCACCGCCUGAUGUCUACCGCACCGCCCGGACGAUGGGGAACAACAAGACUGAGAACAUGGGAUACAAUCUUACUUGGGUGUUAUCUGUGGACUCUGGUUUUAACUAUCUGCUUAGACUACACUUUUGCGAGUUCCAACCCGAGAUAACGGAGCGGCAAGACAGGGAGUUCACUAUUUUUAUAGCUAACCAGACGGCGGAGAAUCAUGCAGACGUGAUCACAUGGAGCGGCGGAAACGGAGUUCCCAUAUACAGAGAUUAUGCGGUCAUGAUGCCAAGCCAGGGAAGCAACAAAAAACAAAACCUCUACAUACAACUGCAUCCUAACCCGGACUGGAGAACCCGUUACAAUGAUGCAAUUCUGAAUGGAAUCGAGCUCUUCAAAGUCAGCAAGUUUGAUAACAGCCUGGCCGGACCAAAUCCAGACCCGCCUCCUAAUUCGGUUCCCCCACCGCCUGCACAGUCUACCUCGCCGAAGGAUUAUGACACACAGCUUGUAGCAAUUGUCUGCGGCAUGGUUGCCUGCAUAGUUGCACUCUCUACUCUAUGUUUAUUCAUUCGCCGGCGAGGAGGGAGACGGCGAGACGCCGACCCAGGAGCAUCGUGGUGGGGUCCAUUUUCUUAUACUAGUGCUCAGUCCACCAGGGCCAGCUAUUGAAGACUUUCUGGACUCUGACAAAGACUCUUGUACACGUUAUCUCAAUUUCAUACAUUAUGAAUUGACUAAUAAGUUUUAAAGCAAGUGGAAUUUAAGGUGAACACGAGAGAAUCUUAAUCUUCUUGACACGUGUGUGACUAGAGUCACCUUUGAAUUUUAUCCUUUUCCGAAAAAUAAAUAAAUAAAUAAAUAAUGAAAAUAAAAAAAUAAAGGAAGAUAAAAAUUAAUAAAUUAUUUUUAUUUAUUAUUUUUAAAUUACUAUUACUUUUUAAAAAAAAAAAACUUAAAAACAUAUAAUUUUUAAUUAAUUUUCAUUUUAUUUUUUUAUAUUUAUUAUAGUAACAUCAAAUAGAAGAAAAUGAUCAAACCUUGUGUAAAAAAAUAUGACUCCAACCAAUGAAUUUGUACAUAUAUGUGCCAAAAUAAUUAAUAAUUUCCAUAUGGAUUUUGUAACUAAUCCACCACUGAUCCCUCUAAACUGGAAGGAGUGGGUUGUUAUUAACUUCUUCCCAAAAUUCUUUUAACCAGCAAUUCAAUAGUAAAUAAUUUAUUUUUAAAGUUUUAACUUAUCACUUUUUUUUAAGAAAUAUCUUGUCUUAAUAGAAAUUUUGAAUUUUCUUUUUAACUUUUAUCUUAAUGGGAAAAUUACUUUUGUUCAUUUCUCUUUUCAAACCUUUAACUUGGUUAAUAUUCAAUUCUAAUUUAUUACAUAAAAUAAAACCAAAUUUAUUUUUAAAAAUUUUGGAGUAAGUACUAUCUUAAAAAUAAAUAAACUAUCCCAAUUUAUGUCAUUUGGAUAAGAAAUUAAUUUACUAUAAAUUCACAAAGUCACCAAGAAAAAAAUUAUAUAUGACUAAAAUAUAUUUUGUUUUUCUCCAACUUUCUCUUUUCCAAAAAAAAAAAUAUUGAUAUUUAAAAAAAAUUCAUAAAUUGUUUCAUGAAAACAAAAUCAAUAGUAUAAAAAUUACUUAAUUUAGAUAAAUAAUUAAUCUAAAAUAAAUUCACUAAAUUCUAAACCAAAUUUGAAAUUCUAUAGUAUGUGUUGUUAUUAUUUGUCUCCUAACUCAUAUAAUCGGUAAAAAAGGAAAAUUAAAUUAAGAAAGAAAUUUAAUGUCUAAUCUUUACCUUGAGGGGCAUGAAUAUGUAGUCUUUGAAUUAGUCCUCAAAUUAAUACUUUAUCAUCAAUUUUUAGUUUGUCUCUUUAAAUUAAUUAUUUAUUAUGUAUUGAAAGCAACCAAUCUCAUACAAAUAUAAAUAAAAUCAAUCGCAUAGAUUAACACAUUGAUUCAUAUAUAGAAAAGCCAUCUAACAAUCUAUUAGGUGUAAAAAAACCAUGGAUGGUCUCUCGACCACUAAAUAAUCCACUAAUUAUGAACAAAAGGACAUACAAUUUUACUUGUUUGGAUGCAUAUCCUCAUUAAGAUCUUAUUUCGUUAGCACUUAUACUCAUUUUUCACGUUCCAAAGGCAAUACUCUUUUGUACUCUUUAAUGGAUUCCUCAAAACCCUUAUUGAAGUUUUGUGAUGAGAUCUCCGACUUAUGUCAAAAGUUACUCUAAAAAAAUGGUCUUGAAAGUUUAAGAGUUGAAGGAUUAAACUUUGAUGAAUGAUUAUGUUCUCUUAAGGUUUAUAAAAUUUCACUUUUAUUUUAAACAAAAUAUUUAUAUUUAUAAGACCUUUUUUAGAAUUAUGGGAGACUUUCCUAAUUUUUAAAUAUUCUAAAAAUCAUUUUUAGAAUCAAAUACCAAUUUAAAGAUACAAUUUUAGAACUUAUCAAAAAUAAUUUUUGGAAUUGAAAACAUUGUAGAAAGCAACGUAAGAAAUAUAAAAUAUCUCCUUCCUAAUUUCUCAUUUUAGUAAUUUUAAAAGUUUUAUUGACCAUGGAUACAUACAUACUUUUAAUUUUACAACUUGAAAUAACUUGAAUCAGAAUUUGAAGAAAUACAAAGUUGUCUUGUGAUAAAAAAGAUUGAAGGAAGUAAAUUGCAUCUAAUUAGUAAGAAAAAAAAAACAAAAUUAUCAACUAAAUAAAAUAUACUAUCAAUUUCCUCUUUGAUAAUUUUGUAACAGAAUACAAAGAUACAAUGAAACCCCUCGUAACUCUCAUAAAACCUCAAGGAUACGAUCUUAAUCCUAGUCUAAACAACUUUAUACGCAAUAAUAUUAAUUUCCUAUGAUCUACACUUACUUAAACAAUAAACUUGUGAAAAGCACGGAAAAAAAAUAUAUCAUUAAUAAACUUAAUGAACAUUUUUACUCCAUUUUUGUCACAAAAAUGACAAAAAUAAGAAUGAUAAAGCAAUCACGAAGAAUUAAAAUACCUAAUGUCCAAAUUCAAUUCAACGGAGAAAACAAAGUUCCAAAAGAUAAUUCAAAUAACAACAAAAUAUUCUCUCUCUAGUUAAUCAAAAAAAUUGUAAAUGUAUGAAGUUCUAAAUCUAUUGACUUAGCUUCCUAAAAUGUAUUCUAUCCUAAGGAAGUUCAAAUUAAACAUUAAAACUUUAUGAUCAAACCGAAUUUCAAAUAAAUUCUUAAAUUUUCAAAGGUCAAUAUUAAACACUUUUUAACACUUCUUGGAAUAUUUUAAUACUCUUGAAUUAGAAUUUUAAAAAACUCAAUGAGGAAGUAAGUAAUCUAAAUAUAAUAGAGCAUGAAAAAUUAUUCAAUAACCUUAAGAAAAGAAAAGAACCAAAAUAGUUUAAUUUCUAGAAUUUAAAAGAUUUUUAAGAUUAAAAAGGAUAAACCAAGGCAAAUCUUCAAUUCUAAAUAAUGAAAUCAUUAACCUGAAAUUUUCAUUCCACCUUACAUUAUUAUUUAAAAAAAUACUUAUUUUUUUUAAAUAAAUACUUAUACAUGAUAUCAUUUGACUUUAUAAUUCCCCAAAACUUUUGAAUUUUUCAUUUUUUUUUAUGGGGCAAUUUUAGAAUAAAAUGAAACAUCCUUGGACUUAAGAUAUCGAAUUUUGAAUUUGUCUAAAGUAGUUUUUUUCACCAUAGGAAUUUUAAAAUAUUUUUAUUUUAUGCACAGAUAUUUCAAACAUAUUCAACACUUUCAAAACCUAUAUAUUAAUAAGAAAAAAAUAAUUUAAUUUGAUUUCCUUUGAAAAACAAGAAGAAACAAAUCUACGUCACUUUAGAAUUUUCAAAAACACUCAAUUCACAUCUUGAAAUAUCUAAGAAAAGAUCUUUACUUAUUAAGACCAUUAUAUAGAUUAAUUAAAAUGCAUGUUUCUAAUCACAACAAGGAAUAAAAUUCAUGUCCAUUUUCCCUAAAUUUCAUAAAGCUUUAAAAUUUUUUAAGAAAAAUGAUAAUUAAAAGAAUAUAUUUAUUUUCUAAUAACAUGAAUCUAAAUCUUAUCAAUUUUAAAAAUGUUUUUCCCCCUCAAAACAAGGGCCUAAAAUUGAGAAGAGAUAGAACCAUGAUCCAACAUACAAAUCAUACUUUAAUGAGUAACUAAUUCCCUAGAUCUCAUACUUUAGAACAUCAAGACUGAUUAACAAUGAAGUCUUAAAUAAAAAUAAAUAAAUAAAUAAAUAAAACUCAAUAACUCCCAAUAUAUAUAGCAUGGCGAAUAAAAUUCAAAUAACAAGUUGUAUAUGCAUGCAUAAGAAAGGAAAAAGAUUAUCAACCAAAUAAAAUAUACUAACAAAUUCUUUAAGAUUAUACUUGGUUUUGAGAAAAUAUUAAAAAAAAAAAAGUUAAAAAUAAUUUUCUUAUAUUUAAUUAUGUUAUGAAAAAUAUAAAAAAAAUAAAUCAAAUAUGAUAAAAAUUAGUUAAAAAUUUAUAUAUUUUUAAAUUAUUUAAUUUUUAUAUUAAAGAAUAAAAUUAAAUAAAAUAAGUUUAAAGUAAUAUAUAAAAAUAAUUUAUUAUUAUUUAUUUAUUUUUUUCAUUUAUUUUAUUUUAUUUUUCUAACAUUUUCCUGGGAAUCAAAUAUACCAAAAAAAAAAAAAAAAAAAAGUUUCCUAGAUUCUCUAUUAAAAAAUGAGAGUGUAAUUUUGUUGUAUUUGGUGGGCAUGCAUGAAAAGAUGAUAAGAUGAUGUAGGGCCCUCCGAGUUUAUGAUCACUGCACCUCCGCCGGGCACUAACCAAUGUGGACUGUUUCCACUCUUAAUUACCCAAAUAAGACGUUUGGAUCUGAUUGGGUGUGUUCAACCACUUUGAGGGGUCUACUUCUACCAGCCACUUGCCGACCCACGGAUUUGAUAAGUUGUGUCUAAGUCUUCCAUUGCCCCUAUUGAUUACUCAUUACCCAUUUGUCAUCGUCUUUAUGUCCCUGUCUACUUGAGAUCUUCUCAGUGCUCACCCAUUAUUUUUACAUAGGAAAUGCUAUUUUAUUUUUCGUGUAUAGAUUAUCAUCUAAAAUUGAGAUGAGAUAGAACUAUCAUCCAACAUACAAACCAUACCCUAUUGAGUAAACAAGGGCCUCUAAAAAAAUGUUUUCUGAUCACUGCAGUACUGCACCUCUACCGCGCACUAGCCAAUGUGGACUGUUUCCACUCUUAAUUACCCAAAUGAGACGUUUGGAUCUGAUUGGGAAAAUUCAACGACUUUGGGAGUUCUACUUCUAGUUCUACCAGCCAGUCGCCGACCCACGGCUUUUAUAAGUCGUGUCUAAGUCUUCCAUUGCCCCAUUGAUUACUCAAUACCCAUUUGUCAUUAUCUCUAUGUCCCUGUCUUCUCGAGUUCUUCUCACCCAUUAUUUUUACGUAGGGAAUGCUAUUUUAUUUUUCGUGUAUAGAUUAUCAUCCGGUGCUAAUAUAAUUUUAUGAAUAUCCAUAAUAGUAGUAUCUGCAUAUAAUAUUGCCCCAUCUCCUUCCCUGCUUCUCCUCUCCAUGAUUUAACUUCCUCUCUUCUUCCCUAAUAUCUCUCCAUCGCAAAAAUUGGGGCCUUCAUCUGCCACCAUGAGGAAUACUGGCCAUAGAUGCCUCUGUUUAAUCAUUCCAUCCAUUCUCACCCCUGUCUAUCUCUUUAUCUUCCUCCACUACCUCACCAUCCCCAUCGCUGGUUACACUUACACCCCUACAGAAAACUUCGCCAUUAAUUGUGGCUCCGCCGAAAAUUGGCAAGCAUUGGCCAGGAACUGGACGGGCGACGUCGAUUCCAAAUUCUCCCCUUCGGAAAAGGGCGAGCUAUCAACAACAUCUCUCGCAGCCGAACAACCUUUUGAAUCGUUUCCCUAUUCCACAGCGCGGCUAUCUCGCAAUGAGUUCACAUACUCAUUUCCCCUCACAGCCGGCCAGAAAUACAUUCGCUUGCACUUUUAUCCAUCUUCAUACGGGGAGUUCGACAGAUCUAAAGCUUUUUUCUCGGUCAAAACCGGUGGUGGCUACACUCUUCUUAGCAACUUCAGUGCUGCCCUUGCUGCUGAAGAUAUUCAAAAGGAAACGAUAGUGAGAGAAUUCUGUAUCAACUUCAACGAAGAAGGUGAGAAGCUGAAUAUUACAUUCACUCCCACUGCGGGCGCAGAUGCAUACGCUUUUAUUAACGGAAUUGAAAUUGUCUCCAUGCCCGACAAUCUCUACUACACUGCACAAGAUGGAGGGUUUCAGUUUAUCGGUCAACAGAAUUCAUUUUUCGUUGAAACAGAUCAUGCUCUGGAAAAUGUAUACCGACUAAACGUAGGUGGGAAAUCUCUUUCGCCCACGGAUGACACCGGCAUGUUCCGUACUUGGGAUGCGGACGAUGAAUACUGUGUGAAACUAGCAUUUGUACCCGCCAACACCAGCAUUAAUCUCAAAUUCACCCAAAUACCAAAUUACACGGCACCUCUUGAUGUCUACCGCACCGCCCGGACCAUGGGAAACAACAAAACUGAGAACAUGGGAUACAAUCUGACUUGGUUUUUGCCUGUGGACUCUGGUUUUAGUUACCUGCUUAGAUUACAUUUUUGCGAGUUCCAACCAGAGAUCCAGGAGCAGCACGACAGGGAGUUCGCGAUUAUCAUAGCCAACCAGACGGCGGAGAAUCAUGCAGACGUGAUCACAUGGAGCACGGGAAAUGGAGUUCCCAUAUACAAAGAUUAUGGGGUAAUGAUGCCAAGCCAGGGAAGUAACAAAAAACAAAACCUCUACAUACAACUGCAUCCUAACCCGGAUUCUGAAACCGUUUACAAUGAUGCAAUCCUCAACGGAAUCGAGCUAUUCAAACUCAGCAAUCCUGAAAAAAGCCUCGCCGGGCCCAAUCCAGAUCCAUCGGAGGCUCCUGCCCCACCACCGCCUGUACAGUCUACCUCGCCCAAGAGAAACAAAACAAAGCUUAUCGCAAUUGCCGGUAGCGUGGUCGCAGGCCUAAUCGCGCUCUCUGUUAUAGUUCUCUUUAUUGUCUGGCGAGGAAGGAGAGUAAGAGACUCCGAACCCAGCGAUGGAGGAUCAUGGUGGGGCCAAUUUUCUUAUACCUCGGUGAAGUCCACGAAGACCAGCCGCUCAUCUCUGCCCUCCGAUCUGUGCCGUCACUUCACUCUGCAAGAAGUCAAGGUGGCCACUAACAACUUCGACCAAGUCUUCAUCAUCGGCGUCGGAGGCUUUGGGAACGUGUACAAAGGGUAUAUCAACGGCGGAACAACACCGGUGGCAAUCAAACGGUUGAAUCCAGAGUCACAGCAGGGGGCCCAGGAAUUCCAGACUGAGAUCGAGAUGCUUUCCCAGCUCCGCCACCUUCAUCUGGUAUCUCUAAUUGGCUACUGCAACGACGAUCGCGAGAUGAUCCUCGUGUACGAUUACAUGGCCCACGGCACUCUCCGCGAUCAUCUCUACAAAACAGAUAAUCCUCCAUUGUCGUGGAAGCAGAGGCUCGAGAUUUGCAUUGGCGCAGCUCGAGGGUUGCACUAUCUUCAUACAGGUGUGAAGCACACGAUCAUUCACCGGGAUGUGAAGACAACCAACAUCCUUUUGGAUGAGAAAUGGGUGGCCAAAGUUUCGGAUUUCGGAUUGUCAAAGAUGGGCCCUACCAGCAUGUCGAACGCCCACGUCAGCACAGUGGUGAAGGGUAGUUUCGGGUAUUUGGACCCAGAGUAUUACCGGCGGCAACAGCUAACGGAGAAAUCCGACGUGUACUCAUUCGGUGUAGUACUGUUUGAAGUACUGUGCGCGAGGCCACCCCUGAAUCAGACGGUGGAGAAAGAGCGGGUCAGUCUAGCACAGUGGGCCCCGGCCUGCUAUCGAGAUGGGAAGCUCGAACAGAUCGUUGAUCCGUUUUUAAAGGGUAAGAUAGCGCCGGACUGUCUGCAGAAGUUUGGGGAGAUCGCAGUGAGUUGUUUGCAGGAUCAGGGGAUCGAACGGCCAUCCAUGAGCGAUGUGGUGUGGGGCCUUCAAUUUGCAAUGCAGCUACAGGAGAGCGCGGAGCAGGAGAUGGAGAAGAGUGGGUCGUGGAGAAAAGUGAAGGACGAAGAAGCCCCACUGAAGGCCUCCAUUACUGAUGAUAGUGACGAUGCGUACGUGUUAACUAGUGAUAGUGGAGGCACGUGGGAUUCGAAGAGUAGUGGGGUAAUGAUACAAUCUAGUGGAGAAGAAAAAAGUUCAACCAGUUGUGAAUCUGAUGCGCUGAUGUCAGGUGCCGUGUUCUCUGAGAUCCUGAACCCAAAGGGGCGAUGAGGUGCAUCCCGUCUCCACAUCUCCACCUCCCUUUAUCAUGAUGCCGCCUCUCCAAUUUUUAAUUAUAAAUAGUGCCUUCAUGAAAUUUAGACUGUACUGGGUUGUUGAAAAUUGUAAUUUUCUUUUUCAAAAAGCGUAUGACCACAUGACUCCAAAAUGUUGACGAAAUUAACAUUGUGAAAAAUAAGUUUAUAAAAAACAAUUUUAUUAUUAAUUUAUCAAAUAAUUUUGAAGUUUUUGAGAAAAUCGAUUUCUCACCCUUUUUCUUUUCUUUUUUUUUUUUUUAAAUAAAAUUUCUCUCUCUCUCUCUCUUUUUUUUUUUUUUUUUUAGUGAAAAUCAUCACUUUGAAGGGACAUUUUUCACUUUUUUCACUUUUUUUUUUUUGAGAAAAUAGUAUAUUCAAGAGAUAAUUUCCCACUUUUUAGAUUUUUUUUUUUAAUUCUGACCUUUUUGAGAUUCUCACUUUCUUGUUUUGGUUUUGGUUUUUUAUUUUUUAAAAUUUUAUUUUAUUUUUUAUGAAAAUUUCUCACCUUUUUUUAUCCAUAAAAUUGUAUAUUUAAAAGACAAUUUCCUAUAUUUUACAAUUAUAUUAUUUUAUUUUUUAACAAAAUCAUCCAUUCAAAAAAAGAUUUCUUAUUUUUUUUAAGACAUAUUUUUCCCUUUAAUUUAUUUGGGAAAUUGUCCCUUUAAGAGACUAUUUUAACUAAAUGAUUUUUUUAAAGAAAAUAAAUUGUCGUUUAAAAAGUCAAUUUUUUUAAAAAAUACUUUUUAAAAUUUGAUAUGAGAAUUUUAUAUUUAUUUCUAUCCAUAGCACAUUGUAAAAUAUAAACGACCUUAGCAUUUAAUUGGAAAUUUCUUUUAUCAUGCUCAUCCCAUUUUUGUUUGGGUUUUGGAACCAUAACUCCAUAAACUAGUUUUGAAGGAAAAGUUGGGUCAUCUUCAAUGACAUCUCACAAGUCUAAGUUAGUUGACUGUAAAAAUGAAGUCAUUUUAGUUUUCCAAUAAGAAUAAUUGGUUCCCGCAAAAAAUGAAGGUAUAUUGGUAGCAAAACUUUUAAUGUGAGAAGAGCUUGAUGAAUUAGUCAUUUCCUCUUAGACAGUUAAAUCUUAAAUAAGAGGCCUAUUAUUUACCCAAGCUUCUAAUUGAGUGAGAGUUUCACUAUACUUGAAGCUUCAACCAAGCUUUUAAUCACCUUUAUACUUGGAUUCCAACUCCAAUGAGCUCUUACACAAUCCCUUCAAGUCUUUACUCACUUGAAACUUUUAACACUCAAAUAACAAGUUUGAAUAUCUCAACCUAGCUCAACAAGGGCUCAAAUACAACUUAAAUGUAAGGAAGAAUCACAAUGGUGCACUAAGGAAUAUGCAAAUGAAGAUUUAAUACACUAAGGAAAGAAUGAGAACUUUUGAUUCAAAAACAAGUAGGUAAACAAGUAAAUGCAGGUGUUUUCUUACUUAUAAAUGAAGUGGAGUUCUCAAUUUAUGGAUUUCUAGCAUCAAGAGCAAAAAAUGCCAAAAAACAGCCUCAACCGGUCAAGUUGGGGGUCGACUAAUUGACUAGUCAUUAUGUAAUAAAUGUAUGAUAGGUGGUCGUUAGGCCUCGACUGGACAUCGAUCGGUCAUCGACUGGGAAGACAUAUCCCUCGACCAAGAAUGCAAGGCUACUGGAAGAGAGAAUAUUUUUUACAUCUCUCGAUCGGACCUCAACUGGGAUAGUGUAACCGGUUGAGUCGGUUGGCCAAUACCUCGACUGGUUCACCAUUUUUGGCUCGAAAACCUAUCUUUUUGUUUUUGUUUUUUUUGUUUAAAUCUUUUCUCUUCUAACAUUUAGGCAAGGUCUUUAGGUAAAUUAAUAUGCUAGAUUUGAAACAAUUUGCUUAAGGUUCAUUUGAUAAAACUUAGGUUUUGAUGGAAAUGUAACUUUAAUGCAUAAACUGAGUUUUUAAAAAUGCAUGAAAAGAUAUGAAAACCCUAAGUGCACCUAUGCAUUCAUCUUACAUAUGUUUCCUAUGAUUAAAGGUUUUCCAAAUGUCUUGAUCUUGCAUCAAUUGGGUCAUUUGAUGAAUUUCCAAACUAAUACCUGAAAUUUUUUAUAAUUCAACCCAAUUAACAACUUAACCAUGAUUUGCUAUCAUCAAAAUAUGAUUAGGAGAACCUUUGGGCUAACAACUUUCAUGAAAAAUAUAAGAACUCAACUUAAUGACCUAUUUUUCAUCGUACACAAGCUCCCUAUGAAUUUGUGUCACAUUCUAACAAGAUGAAUUCUAUCAAACUCUUAAUAUUGUCUCUACAAUUAUUUAGUCUCAUAUUAUCUUAUUAUGUGAUCAACUAACACACAUUCUAGCUCAAAAGAAUUUAUGUCAAAUUCCAAUUAAGGAAUUACUAUAAUAAUAGAUUUUUUUUAUCACAUGUGCUUAGAAUCACUCAAGAGGGCACAUUGUUCCAAACCCGUGAGAUAUUAUGGUGGUUCUAUCAAGAAUACCUUUUACCACUACCCUUCAUUAACAAUGACUCAAUGCAUAAGGAAUAUAUGACCACCCUAUGGUCUCACUCGUGGGUUAAAGUUACUAUAGAGCUUAGUACAAGCUCAAUAUCAUAUUAAUGUUGAGAGACCAUACAUUAUAGCAGUUUGAUGAGAUCAUGACUAUCCAUAAAUCUUGUCAAUGUGUAACCAUAAACACUCAAGGAUGAAAAUAUUGAUUUUAGCAAAUAUAUCGAUAAUUCAAUUUUAUGGAUAUAUUAGGAAAUAUCGAUGAAUAUUUUGACACAACAUAUCAAUUAGGCAAAAAUUGAUCAAAACCCAUGAAAAUGUUAGGAAAAAAAUUCUAAAAAUGAUAUAAUAAUUAAUAAUAGAUAUUUUAAUUUUUUGUUAAUUAAAGAAAACGAUAUUGUAUGAUAUAAUUUAUCAUUAUGAUAAUAAUAUCAUGUGUGUCAAUAAAAAAAAUAUGAAUUUUAUAAGUGUACAUUUAUUAUUAAUUAAGUUACAUAAAAUAUUAUUCAAUAAUAGUAUUGCGACAUUUGAUUAUAAUGUCUAAUUUUAAAAUAUAUUUAAUAUUAAAAUUAUGAUUCAUUUAAUUCGAUUGUAUUUAAUGAUAUAAAAUAAAUGAUGAUAUAUGCACAAUUUUUUAAUAUUUAAUUAAUAUAUUAAUGAUAUAAAAAAUACCUAUGAAGAAAAUUAUCAUGAUAAUUUUUAUAUUUUUGGUAAUCAAUUAAAUGAAAUUUUUUUAUUUAAUUAUAAAAUAAUUAUAAUUAAUUUAUUCAUUAAAAUAUUCUUUAAACAUUUUUUUUUAUAUAUAUAUAUAAACUUGCCCCAAUGGUUGCGAUUCAUUGUGAACCUUUUAUAUGGGGUUCAAACCCUCCAUCUAGAGAAAGCAAUGAGCCAUUAUUGAGCAUUGACCACUUUUGACUAAGCAUUGACCUUAUCCAAAAAUCGCCCGUAUGCCCCCACAUGUUGCUUCAGUCAAUAUUUUGCGCUUUUUUUAAUCCAUAUAAUCAAGAUCAGUCACUCUUCAGUUAAAAGGUAAUACACUACAACUUCAAAUACAGUGCCUAAGUUCAUGAGUCAAAUGUACUAAUUAUCUACUUGAAAGGAACUAUGACUUGAAUAUUUCGUGUAACUAUAAAUGCAUCAAGUCAUAUAUAAAGCAAAAUAUAUCAAGCCAGAAUGCCAAGAAAAUAUAAUGCGUGAACAUGAUAGGAUUGAAAAAUUGGAAUCCUAUUAUAAAUAUUAAUAAAUAUGUUUAUUGUAAUAUUGUCAGCUUUUAAGGGCUUAUUUAAGGGAUUUAUUGUAACAAAUAUGUCCUUAAUAAUAUUAAUGUUAAACUAAUAUUUAUACUAAAAUUUUCAUCUCUUAUUUUAAUGUAAAAGAGAAUUCUAAAGAUAAAUAUAUUUUUUAAUAGGUUUGUACCAAAUACAAAAUUUAAAAAUGUAACUUUAAUGAAUAAAUAAUUUUAAUUAUCUUAUAUUUAAAUUCCUUUUCACUAAUUAUUAAUGAGUCUUUCUUUAUAUCUCUUUACAUUAAUUAAAUAUAAGAAAAAUAUAAAUUUGAAAAUAAAAUUAUAUGUUAAAAAAAAAAUCAUGCAUAUAACAUUGCUUUUAUAUAUAUAUAUAUCUUUGAAUACAUCUAAACUAGUUAGAUUUCUAUAAAAUGUAUUUUCAAGUUUUAUAUAUUAUUAUUGAUGAUAAAUUAUAUUAUGCCUAUAUUCAAAAGACAAAGAACUUGAAUAUGUAAUAUUUCUUGUUUUAUUUUAUUUUAUUUUUACAUUUUUAUGAGUUUUAAUUAAUUUUUAUUUCAUCAAUUUUUUUUAAAUAUUUUUUUUUUGAUAUUUUUGUAAAACCCAACUAUAGAAAUGCAUAUUUUUAUCCUUGGUUGUAUUUGAGCUAAGGGGGAGAAUUUUGGAACUGCUAAGGAGGGAAGGAUGCACAAUAGGAUUGAAAAAGAAUAUAGGUUAAAGGUGGAACCAAUGGUUCUCUCAUCGGAUUGUGAUACAUGGAGCAUGUCCUUCACUAUAUGGAAUAAGUGUAGUUUUUCCCAUGUACUUAUUAGAUCUUGGAGGGUGAAACAAUAAAUAAAGUAGUUAAACUAUUUGAAUCUUCGGGGCAUGAAGGGGAUUGUAGCGUAUGAGAGGACCAAUAAAAGUAUAUGGUAAAACACGGGAUGUUUCAAGGCUCAAAUUUUUGUGCUUUUUGUAAUAUGGUGAAAUGAUUUCUCUAAUUCAUAGAUAUAAAUAUAGUAAUUGGCCUAAGCAUAUUAAAUAUUCAUGUAACAUUUCAUCAUAUUAAAUACAGUAAUAGAUCAAAUUUUUAGGCUGUGUUUGGUUCCUUGAAAAUUUGAAGGAAAAUGUAUUAGAAAAAAUAGAGAGAAAAUUAAAACGAAAGAAAAAGUACAAAAAAUAAAAAAUACAUUUAAAAUCAAUAAAUUAGUUUUAUAUAUUACUUCAAAUCCAUUUAACAUAUUUAACUCUUCUAUAUAAAAAUUAAAUAAUUUAAAAUAUAUAAAUUCCUUGUUAAUUUUAAUUAUUUUUUACUUUCUCUCAUAUUAUUCAUAGUAAAAUCAAAUAGGAAAAAAAAUGUAUAUUUUCUUAACAUUUUUUCCUUUCUUAUUACUUUCUUGGAACCAAAGAUAACCUUACUUUCCACCUUUUUUCCAAGAAUGGAUUAAGAAAAAAAAAUUAAACAACAAAAAAGUGAAUGCUUUAUUAAGAACCAAAGUGCUACCAUCCCUUCAACCCAUUCAAUCUUUGGUUGAGAAGGUAAGGUUUGCAUACUUAUUUUUAUGUUAAACAUUUGAGAGUAAGGGUUAUGUUUAGUUUUUAGAAAAGUUAAAGGAAAAGAAAAUAGAGUGAAAAAAUGCAAGGAAAGAAAAAAUGAAUGAAAAUAAAAAAAAUAGAUUAAAAAUCAAUAAGUUAAUUUUAUAUAUUUUUUCAAACUAAUUUAAGUUAUUUUUGUUCAUAGUAUAAAAAUUGAAUAAUUUUAAAACAUAUAAAUUUUAAACUAAUUUUAAUUAUAUUUAAUAUUCUUUUUCUUUUCUUUUCUUUUUUAUAAUAAACUAAACAUAAGAAAUUUAUUUUUUUAAAUAAUUUUUUUAUUUCCUUAACGCUUUCAGAAACCAAAUAUAACCUAAAGAUUAAGUACCUAAAGCCUUUUUUUUUUUCCUGAUAAAUAAUAGCCUAGCCUUCCAAGUAGGUACUUAUUGUUAAUUGCUAACUAAACCUUUCUAACUAUGACAUUUAAAUACGUAACAGUAUGGUUUGUAGGGUACGUAUGUUAGGAGGUUCGUGGAAGCUAAGGGAUGGUCGGAAUAAAUGUGCAAACGACUUGGACUUUUAUUAGUCGUCUACUCUUUUUCUACCCACUAUUCGUUUGUCUUCAUUCAAUGUCUCUACCAAUAAGAAAAUAGUGCCACUAGGACCAAGAAAAAAAAACUUAUUAUUUGUUUUAUUAUAAAUUUUUAAUAUUUUUUAUUUUUUAUUAUAUUUUUAUGAGUUUUAAUUAAGUAAUUAUGUUUUUGGACAUUUCCAAUUUUUUUUUUUUUUUUAAAUUCAAUCAUUGACAUUUCUAUGUUAAUUUUGCCUUGUUAUGAGAAAUAGAUGGUGGAAUUUAUUUGAAAAUAUAAUUAGUUUUAUGAAACAAUUGAUUUAAAAGAUAUUUUUAAAAUGAGAGGUUUAGGAUGUAUUUGACAACGCUUUUAAAAAUAAUUACAUCUCUUUGCCACUGCACGGCUCUCACACUCUGAAUUCACAUACAGAUUUCCUGUCUUAGCCGGUACGAAAUUCAAAUGUUUUUUCCUCUAAAAACAAGGGCCUAAAAUUGAGAUGAGAUAGAACUAUCAUCCAACAUACAAACCAUACCCUAUUGAGUAAACAAGGGCCUCUAAAAAAAUGUUUUCUGAUCACUGCAGUACUGCACCUCUACCGCGCACUAGCCAAUGUGGACUGUUUCCACUCUUAAUUACCCAAAUGAGACGUUUGGAUCUGAUUGGGAAAAUUCAACGACUUUGGGAGUUCUACUUCUAGUUCUACCAGCCAGUCGCCGACCCACGGCUUUUAUAAGUCGUGUCUAAGUCUUCCAUUGCCCCAUUGAUUACUCAAUACCCAUUUGUCAUUAUCUCUAUGUCCCUGUCUUCUCGAGUUCUUCUCACCCAUUAUUUUUACGUAGGGAAUGCUAUUUUAUUUUUCGUGUAUAGAUUAUCAUCCGGUGCUAAUAUAAUUUUAUGAAUAUCCAUAAUAGUAGUAUCUGCAUAUAAUAUUGGCCAUCUCCUUCCCUGCUUCAUCUUCCACCAUGACGAAUACUGGCGACAGAUGCCUCUGUUUAAUCAGUCCAUCCACUCUCACCCUUCUCUAUCUCUUUAUCUUCCUCCACUACCUCACCAUCCCCAUCGCCGGUUACACCCCUACAGAAAACUUCGCCAUCAAUUGUGGCUCCUCCGAAAAUUGGCAAGACUUGGGCAGGAACUGGACGGGGGACGUCGGUUCCAAAUUCUCCCCCUUGGAAAAGGGCAAGCUAUCAACAACAUCUCAAGCAGAUAAACCAUCCUCUUCAUCGGUUCUCUAUUCCACAGCGCGGCUUUCUCGCUAUGAGUUCACAUACUCAUUUCCCCUCACAGCCGGCCAGAAAUUCAUUCGCUUGCACUUUUAUCCAUCUUCAUACGGGGAGUUCGACGGAUCUAAAGCUUUUUUCUCCGUCAAAACCGGUGGUGGCUACACUCUUCUUAGCAACUUCAGUGCUGCCCUUGCUGCUGAAGAUCUUCAAAAGGAAACGAUAGUGAGAGAAUUCUGUAUCUACUUCAAUGAAGAAGGUGGGAAGCUGAAUAUAACAUUCACUCCCACUGCGGCUGCAGAUGCAUACGCUUUUAUUAACGGAAUUGAAAUAGUCUCCAUGCCCAACGAUCUCUACUACAGUUCUCCACAAGAUGUAGGGUUUCAGUUAAUCGGUCAACAGAAUUCAUUUCGCAUUGAAACAGAUUAUGCUCUGGAAAUGGUAUACCGACUAAACGUAGGCAUGCAAUAUGUUUCGGCCAAGGAUGACACCGGCAUGUUCCGUACUUGGGAUAUGGACGAUGACUACUGUAUGAAACUAGCAUUUGUACCCGCCAACACCAGCAUUAAUCUCAAAUUCACCAAAAUACCAAAUUACACGGCACCUCAUGAUGUCUACCGCACCGCCCGGACCAUGGGAAACAACAAAACUGAGAACAUGGGAUACAAUCUUACUUGGGUUUUGCCUGUGGACUCUGGUUUUUAUUACCUGAUUAGAUUACAUUUUUGCGAGUUCCAACCAGAGAUCCAGCAGCAGCACGACAGGGAGUUCACGAUUUUCAUAGCUAACCAGACGGCGGAGAAUCAUGCAGACGUGAUCACAUGGAGCGGCGGAAACGGAGUUCCCAUAUACAGAGAUUAUGGGGUAAUGAUGCCAAGCCAGGGAAGUAACAAAAAACAAAACCUCUACAUACAACUGCAUCCUAACCCGGAUUAUGAAACCGUUUACAAUGAUGCAAUCCUCAACGGAAUCGAGCUAUUCAAACUCAGCAAUCCUGAAAAAAGCCUCGCCGGGCCCAAUCCAGACCCAUCGGAGGCUCCUGCCCCACCACCACCUGUACAGUCUACCUCGCCCAAGAGUAACAAAACAAAGCUUAUCGCAAUUGCCGGUAGCGUGGUCGCAGGCCUAAUCGCGCUCUCUGUUAUAGCUCUCUUUAUUGUCUGGCGAGGAAGGAGAGUGAGAGAUUCAGAACCCAGCGAUGGAGGAUCAUGGUGGGGCCAAUUUUCUUAUACCUCGGUGAAGUCCACGAAGACCAGCCGCUCAUCUCUGCCCUCCGAUCUGUGCCGUCUCUUCACUCUGCAAGAAAUCAAGGUGGCCACUAACAACUUCGACAACGUCUUCAUCAUCGGCGUCGGAGGCUUUGGGAACGUGUACAAAGGG
rnacentral:lncRNA from 1 species